CGUUUAACGUCCGCUUUCCAUAAAGAACAGAUAAAUCUCACACAAUACCGUCAAAUUCCACUCAGUAGCCACAUAGACUCUUGCACUAGAAAUAAAAAUCCCAAAUUUCAUAUAUUCCCUUUCUAUCAAUGUAAAGACAGAAUCUCUACACAAGAAAGAAUCAACAAGGAGAAUCUUUUUAUUCAAAAAUUCCAAACGCUUCUUAAUAUG